rnacentral:rRNA from 1 species
UACGAAGGGGGCUAGCGUUGCUCGGAAUCACUGGGCGUAAAGGGUGCGUAGGCGGGUCUUUAAGUCAGGGGUGAAAUCCUGGAGCUCAACUCCAGAACUGCCUUUGAUACUGAGGAUCUUGAGUUCGGGAGAGGUGAGUGGAACUGCGAGUGUAGAGGUGAAAUUCGUAGAUAUUCGCAAGAACACCAGUGGCGAAGGCGGCUCACUGG